GUCGAGGGACAACCCAACUUCAAAAGCAAGUUACAUCUUUCCAAGAGUCUUACUUAAACUAGAGAAACACCCUCUCAUGCUAUGAGAUAUUAACUGCCUGUGUUCCCACUGUACCAUCAGGAACGCUAGAUGUGAAGGGAAAUCUUUUAGCUUUCAAACUGUUUUUAAACUUGAACACUUUAGAUCCAUCUGUAUUCUCUGAAGUGAUACAGGCCAAUGAUAGGUAAGUACCUCCUCAGCUAUCCUUAGCCUACAUCACUUCAGAGAAUACAGAUGGGGAAAUCACAUGAAGUGUAUGCUCCCUCUAUAUAGGAGAUCCAUGAGUUAGAGGUAAAGAUUCUCAGCUUCUUAACAUCCCAUUUCUUUAUGCAGAGAGUGUUUUUGAGGCUCAAGGGAGGCAUUCAAUCGUAUAAUUACCUGACAGCCUUCUGAAGUGGUACAGUUCAAGGAAGGCUGUGCAAUGUAAUUUUUCUGAAUGUAUGGAUUGGCUAGUAGGAUUACCCAGUCCUACCUGAAACUCUGGCAGGGCAUUUAGAAAUUAUCUGACAAGAAGACACAAGGUUGCCCUUAAAACAUAUUUAUUUUGGGAUUUGUCCCUUUACUUUAGGGGUUUAUAUUGUAGUUUAUUGAAGUAGCAGCUUAGUUUAAUGCCAGACUUUGAGGAGUAAAGUUAGGCAAACUGCAUUGAGAAAUGUAAUUGUGGUUGUUUGAGUGGUUUGGAUGCUGUGGGGGUGUAUGUGAAAAUACAGCAAAAAGAGAUAUAUUAAAAUUUGGGGGAUCAAGGGGACUCUAGAGAUGGUUAUGGGGCACAAAAUAGGACCCAAGCAGUACUUUCCCCACCCCUGAGCUAGAUGAAUCAUUAGUUUGGGUGCAUCUACACUGCAGAAUAAUGCAAUCUGACACCAUUCUAACUGCCAAGAUUUGAUGCUGGGAUUUGUAAUUUGGUGAGGCACCAGCACUCUUUGGCAGAAAGGGCUAAAGAUGUAAAAUGACAAAUCUUGUUAUCUCAUAACAUUGAUCCAUAGCACUUAAAGUGGUACCUAACUGCAUUAAUUCUACAAUGUAGAUGUUGCGUUUGAUUCAUGAUAAGGCAGCUUCAUAUGAAGGCCAACCAAGCAGGGUACGGGGGAGUGUAGCAUCUAUUCUGUGUGUGCUGUUGAAUUGAGUGCACUGACAUAGAUGGUUGGUGUAGUUUUAACUUAGAGAUUUGCAGGGUGUAGGCACAAGCCUCUGUUGGCUGAACUGCCUUUAUGUUGGCAUCACACUCUUAGCUGGCUGUUCUCAUAGAUCAGCUGAGAGAAAGCUCUGCCAGCACAACUGCUCCACCCACUGAGAUCAGUAAACAAAAGAGCCAAAAAUGGGGUCGAGAAGGGAUGGAGCAAAGGAAGGAACCAUGUUAUGCCAAUUCCAAGCCUCCCGUAGCUUGAGGACACAGUGCUGGCAGAAAAUUAUGCUGGGGCGGUCAUUUCCGAGAACACGAGGCUGUGAGGCCUUUGGAUUCAAGACAGCAUUGGCUGGGCAAGUGUUUGUUAAGCCAACCCUCCAUCAUCUUGACUUUUUCUUCAUGUGCAUGAUUCUACAUCACAUUGCAAGAUGAACAUACAGAAGGCUCCACUCUGAAGACACCCCCCAUUCCCAUAGGAUGCUGGAUUCCAUUUUUGGGACAAAGUUCUUGUAAUCCCUCGGCUGGCUUGAAGGUGAGUCAGUUGCUGCAAACUGAGUCCAAAGUGGAAAAGUAGUUUGCAUUCAAUGAACCAGGAGGAGAGAGAGAAGGAGACAGAAUACUGCACUUCCCAGCAGCCCCAGGUCAAGGCAACCUGUCUAAUAGCUUUUCCCCUCUGAUGCUGUAUGUUCCAGGUUUCAUCUGCAAAAACUUAGAAGGUUUCGAUAGAAGGACAGCAGACUUCCAAAAGGACGCAUUCUUCUCUUGGACAAGUAUUAAUAUUACAGAAAAGGUUGAUGCGAUGCUGCUGAAAAACAGAGUAAUGAGCAGAAGCCAGGGCUGCCUGGCUACAAAAGACUUCAUUCUCUAAUUGUCAAAAAGCAUUAAACAUCAAGUAUUUAUUCUGUGGCAGAAGAAGAGGGAAGAGACAUCAGUGCCUCCCUCACCAGAGGUUGUCUCUAAUUGUCAUGCAUAGAUUGCAACAGAGGUUAUAGAGAGAAAUUUGUUUGCAUUUAUUAAUCAAAAGGAGUCAAAGGCGCAGAAAGAUAUCAUCAAGGCUCCCUUGUGCAAGGGGAGGCUGACAACUAAAAUUUCUGAUGAAGUGUUUGCAGAAUGUUUGCAAUCUGUUCAAAGCCUUUUUACUUCACAGGUGCAAACCUUUCUAUCUGUUACAUCAAAGAAACAAUUGAAAAUUAAACACAGUAAACAUUGCUGUACAGGUUUUAAUCUUCCAUUUUGAAAGGACAAUGGGAGGGAGCGAAUUCAUUUCAAAGCAGCAGCCCCGGUUCUUUCAAUAUUCAUUUGAGCACAUUAGCAUUUCAUUAGUUUGGGUUUUAAAAUAGCAAUAUUUGGAUUUAGCCCAAUCUCUGCCUGCCCACUUUUGUUUUAUGAAAGGGAAAAAAAAUAAGAAUAGGAGUUGAACUUAGACUCCUAGGGAUGCCAUUUGCACCAAAGCAGCCAUUCACCGAUAAUUAUCUAUUAUUUUGCUCUGUAUAGUAGAUGAGAGCUAAUGCAUAGUCCUUUGAAGGAACGGUACACAGGACAAAAUAGAUGUAAGAAAAUUGUGCUUUUCCUGUGACGCAGGAAAAUAUAACAAGAACAAAGAUCCCUUCUCUGAAUAUUAUUACUAAUUUUUAGUACAAUCCUAUGUUGUCUUGAUCAGUCUACUCAGAAGUAAGCCCACUGAAUAUACUGGAAUUUAUUCCUCAUAUGUGUUAAAUACGUAGUACUCUUUUCUCUGUCAUUUCUAAAUCUAGUUGGAUGCCUUUUCUUCUCUUUUGCCUCAACCUUCUCAUUUCUCUUCUAUUAGAGGUUGGACUUUUUCAUGGCUAUUUUGUCUCUCUUACUAAAUGCAAUGAAUGAGUCAUGGGAUAUAUCUUUUCUGAGUAUGGUAUCUAUUUUGUUCCAACUUUUCCUAAGUGUAAUAAAGCCAUUUCCUCCCAUCCACUUUCAAUGGGUAGCUGUUUGAACAGAUAAUUCAACAAUCCCAUCAUCAACAUUCCCUAGAGCAUUUCUGAGCUGGCUCCUAAUAACAUCCUCUCCUUAGGUAUAUUAAUUUUCUAUAUCCUGCACAGAAGAUUGAACAGUUCUUCAGCAACAUCCAUACAAGGGUGCUGACAUUAACAGAAAUAGAAAUUUUCUUUGUGCUUUUAUCAAUGUACUCUAGAGUAUAUAUUUGCCCGUGCAGGCUUGAAUAGCCUAGAUGUUGGGAAAAGGUUUAAUAUACAGUUGUUUGGGUGCUGAGCUCAGUUUGUAUCGACACAAUAUUAGUUUGGAAACAAUGAGCCCUUUCAGAUGUUUUGGCUGCCUUUCAGCUAAUGCAUAUAAUACAGAUGUUUGUUGGGAAAAAUGAAAUGUGUGGCAAAUGCAUGCAAGCUGUCACUCAGAAAGGGGAGAAAGAGAGAAUAAAGAAGGAAAAAGCGGAAAGAGUAUAGCAUAUGCUGCCACAAUCUGCAAGGAUAACUUAAUAGUAAGUGUUCCUCCCCUAGAAAAUGCAGCUAUUUCCAAGAGUUACAAACCUACAAAUUGAUUAGGAAUGACUGGGAGAAAGCAACUGGUCAAACAUUGAAGGUCAGAUCCGACGAUGUACUACAGAUUGUGAUGGCCAACAGCAGCAAGCAGAGGUCGGGUCGGGUAAAUGGGAUGACGAAAAGGAUGGCUUUUAUUUUAUUUUCAUUCUUCCUUUUCCCAAUAUGGAAAGGCAACCCAAGGCAACUGAGAAUACAGAUUUUAAAAAUAGGUAAAACAGAAUUUAGCCUUUAAAGUCACAUAUGAUUCAGUCUUAUAGAAUCAUAGAAUAGUAGAGUUGGAAGAGACCUCAUGGGCCACCCAGUCCAACCCCCUGCCAAGAAGCAGGAAAUCGCAUUCAAAGCACCCCCGACAGAUGGCCAUCCAGCCUCUGCUUAAAAGCCUCCAAAGAAGGAGCCUUCACCACUGUCCGGGGGAGAGAGUUCCACUGCCGAACAGCCCUCACAGUGAGGAAGUUCUUCCUGAUGUUCAGGUGGAAUCUCCUUUCCUGUAGUUUGAAGCCAUUGUUCUGCGUCCUAGUCUGCAGGGCAGCAGAAAACAAUCUUGCUCCCUCCUCCCUAUGACUUCCCCUCACAUAUUUGUACAUGGCUAUCAUGUCUCCUCUCAGCCUUCUCUUCUGCAGGAUAAACAUGCCCAGUUCUUUAAGCCUCUCCUCAUAGGGCUUGUUCUCCAGACCUUUGAUCAUUUUAGUUGCCCUCCUCUGGACACUUUCCAGCUUGUCAACAUCUCCCUUCAACUGCGGUGCCCACUAUCUUGUGUCCACUAUCUGCAUUCUUGAGUUGCUGCUACAGCUUGGUGGAAAGAAGAGAGGGAGGGUUCUAAAGUCAGACUUGACCAUGGUGAUCUACACUCUCAUUACAGCCAGGAUCAUCAUCAUCUUCAUUCGCACAGUCAUCUCCAACUCUUCAAGACCUCAUGAGCUCCCUGUUGGCCGUCACCGUCCCCAGUUCCUUCAAGGUCAAGCCAGUCACUUCAAGGAUACCAUUCAUCCAUCUCGCCCUUGGUUGGCCCCUCUUCCUUUUUCCUUCUAUUUUCCCCAGCAUCAUGAUCUUUUCCAAGCUUUCCUGUCUUCUCAUGAUUUGGCCAAAAUACUUCAUUUUUGCCUCUAAUAUCCUUCCCUCCAGUGAGCAGCCGGGCAUUAUUUCCUGGAGGAUGGACUGGUUGGAUACAGGAUAGACUACUACAACACACUCUGCAUGGGGUUGCCUUUGAAGACUGUCUGGAAGUUACAAAUAGUCCAACGAGAGGCAGCCAGGUUAAUAACUGGGGCGGCACAUAGGGAGCACACAACUCCCAUGUUACAUCAGCUCCACUGGCUGUCUGUUUGCUACCGGUCACAAUUCAAAGUGCUGGCUUUGGCCUAUAAAGGCCUAAAUGGUCCCAGCCCAGUUUACCUGUCCGAACGCAUCUCCCUUUACAAACCACUGUAAAGACUAAGAUCUUCCGGGGAGCCCUCCUCUUUGUUCCGCCACCGUCACAGGCAUGUUUGGCGGGAACGAAAGACAGGGCCUUCUCAGUGAUGACCCCCGGCUAUGGAACUCCCUCACUGGCGAGAUUAGAUCAGCCUCCUCCCUCCUGUCCUUCAGAAAGACAGUAAAGACCUGGUUGUGGUACCAAGCCUUUGGGUGGUGCAAUGUGGAUAUAAUAGGAAACCUACUUUGCUGACCGGAGCCAGCAUGGUGUUCUGAGUUGGUUUAAACAACUUUUUUUCGUGUCAGGAACGACUUGAGAAACUGCAAGUUGCUUCUGGUGUGAGAGAAUUGGCCAGCCCCCCCCCCCCCGGAUGUUUUGAUGUUUUUACCAUCCUUGUAGGAGGCUUCUCUCAUAUCCCCACAUGGAGCUGGAGCUGAUAGAGGGAGCUCAUCAGCGCUCUCCCCGGGUUGGAUUCGAACCUGGCAGCCUUCAGAUCAGCAACCCAAUCUUCAAGUCACAAGGCUUUAACCCACUGCGCCAUCGGGGGCUCCAUUUAAACAGCUGAUUUUAAAGUAGACAUAAUUGAUUUUAAUGUUUGUGUAUAUUUAUAAUUAUUUUAUUUCCCAGCAUGGAAUGCUUGCCGUAUAUUAUGUUGUGCUCCACCCUGAGUACUCUUUGGGGUGAGAAGGGUGGAAUAUAAAUGUUUUAAAUAAACAAACAAAUAAAUAAAAAGUAAUAUUUUA